UAGCCGUAAACGAUACUCACUAGGUGUCGGCCACGGUGCGACCGUUGUCGGUGCCGUAGGGAAGCCGUGAAGCGAGCCACCUGGGAAGUACGGCCGCAAGGCUGAAACUUAAAGGAAUUGGCGGGGGAGCACCACAACGGGUGGAGCUUGCGGUUUAAUUGGAUUCAACGCCGGAAAUCUUACCGGGACCGACAGCAACAUGAAGGCCAGGCUGAAGACUUUGCCGGAUUAGCUGAGAGGAGGUGCAUGGCGUAGUCGUGU
rnacentral:rRNA from 1 species